UACGGGGGGGGCAAGCGUUGUUCGGAAUUACUGGGCGUAAAGGGGCUCGUAGGCGGCCCACUAAGUCAGACGUGAAAUCCCUCGGCUUAACCGGGGAACUGCGUCUGAUACUGGAGGGCUUGAGUUUGGGAGAGGGAUGCGGAAUUCCAGGUGUAGCGGUGAAAUGCGUAGAUAUCUGGAGGAACACCGGUGGCGAAGGCGGCAUCCUGGACCAACACUGACGCUGAGGAGCGAAAGCCAGGGGAGCAAACGGG
rnacentral:rRNA from 1 species